rnacentral:rRNA from 1 species
CCUACGGGUGGCAGCAGUCGAGAAUCAUUCACAAUGGGGGAAACCCUGAUGGUGCGACGCCGCGUGGGGGAAUGAAGGUCUUCGGAUUGUAAACCCCUGUCAUGUGGGAGCAAAUUAAAAAGAUAGUACCACAAGAGGAAGAGACGGGUAACUCUGUGCCAGCAGCCGCGGUAAUCCAGAGGUCUCAAGCGUUGUUCGGAAUCACUGGGCGUAAAGCGUGCGUAGGCUGUUUCGUAAGUCAUGUGUGAAAGGCGGGGUCUCAACCCGCGGACGGAACAUGAUACUGCGAGACUAGAGUAAUGGAGAGGGAAGCGGAAUUCGCGGUGUAGCAGUGAAAGGCGUAGAUAUCGAGAGGAACACUCGUGGCGAAGGCGGGUUCCUGGACAUUAACUGACGCUGAGGCACGAAGGCCAGGGGAGCGAAAGGGAUUAGAUACCCGAGUAGUC